AUAAAAUAGAUACAUAUUUACAUGUUUCUACUUGUAAUCGGUUUUGUUCAGUUUAUUCGGUUUAAUCGGUUAAAUACCAAACUAUAUCCAAAUCCUACGGUUUUUAUAAAGUUAUAUCCAUUCGGUUUAUAUGGUAUAUACCAAAACCAAACCAUAUUGUCUAUUUUGGUUCGGUUCGGUACGGUUCGGUUUUACCAUAUUGACCAGCCCUAGGAAAUAUAACAAUUAACUUUUAAUUCUCGUUGGAUUAUCAACUUGAUGAUCAAAUCAGGAUCCUUCUACAAAUAUAACAUAUUUUUAACUUUGAUUAUCAAAUCAAAAUCCUUAUAAAAUAUAACAUGCAUUUACAACUUGAUUAUCAACUCAAAAUCUUUAAUACAAUUUAACUAAUAGAUAUUGCUUCUGAAAUAUCUUUAUACAUAAACUAGAUAUUGACCCACGGAUCCGCACAGAUAUCUAUACUAUUAAAGCAGAAUACUUACUAGGAUUCUGCCAUUGGAUUUUCAAGUUAUUUACAAGAGAAUGCCAUUACCUUUUUUGAUUUUUUUUAAAUAUUCUCGCCACUUAUUUCGGCCAAUCAGAUACAAGAUUAAAUAGAAGGGAGCUUCUGAUCAGCGACGAUCAUUUCGGCGAAGAUGAACACGAUUUUACGCCCAAACCUUCUUUGCCUUCCUCUUCUUCUUCUUCCUGACAUCAAUGUGGUUUGAGGUACUACUCAAUGUACGGAUAUGUGGAGAAACUAUUACAAGAGAUUAGGAAAGUGCUGCUUCUCUUGAUGGUGAUCGAUGCCAAACUCUGGCAGGUUAGUCAGUGAUCUCUUUACUAGCUUUUCUAUGAAGCAUAUCUGACAAUUAUAGGCUACAAUGAGACACAGAAACUGACCAUGAAAUCUUUGAAACAGAAUAGGAGUUGAAGUUAAAAACAAGUUCUUAUGUGUGAAUGAAAGAGGGAAUACAUUUCUAUAUUUUUAUUUACUGGUGAAUGUCUUUUAUUUGUCACCAUUUUUAUGCUAUGUGAUAAUCUUUUGAGUGAUUUAACAUUUUUUAUCUCACUGAUGCAUGUUUUCAGCUACCUUAAAUUUAACUUGCAUCCUCUCAAAGAAAUAAGAAGACAUUCAUACUGAAGCAUCGAGCUAAGCUUUUGUUCUUAACAGAAUGACAUGUACCAGAGACGCUCCAAAAAGACGUGCUCUCUAAAUGAGUGGACCGCCAAAGAGUGAUGCUCCUCUUAUCACCCUCAAUGACCUUGCCAAGGCUGAUGGCUUUGUCUUUUGCUUCCCAACAAGGUUUGGUAUGAUGGCUGCCCAGUUCAAGGUAUUCUUAGACAAAAUUGGUGGCCUCUGGAGGAUUCUACAACUUGCUGGUAAGCCAGCCGGAAUCUUCUACAGCACCGGGGCUCAACGUGCUGGUCAAGAACCUCAUCAACACUUGCUUCGGUUUUUACGUUUUGGAGUGUUUACUUGUGUUGUCAUUGAUUUCUAACACAUUUUUUUGUAAUCUUUGUAAGCAGGAUUCAGAACUAUCGAACUAAUUCUAUUUUUAUAAAUCUUGAUCUCAUGCCAGUUAAGCAAACACCUUGAGCCUUUCCUCACUUUUUUUUUUCUAAACAUAACAAUCAAUAUAUAUGUUUACAAGUACAUGAUUGGCCGCUUAUGACAUUUAUAGCAUAUGGUGAGUUGUUUUUCAGUCAAUUUUAACUCAUUUUUAGUUAUAGGAUGAAAAAUAAAAAUAAACAAAUCCAGAAAGAUCAAAGUUUAAAAAUAUAGUUAUUUUAGUCAGAAUCAAGAUUGAAAAUUGAUCCACGCACUUGAAUUGAACUCGGAAUUUUAUCAUAUUUCAACUUUACUAUUUGAAUCAAACCAAAAACUAAAUAACUAACUAAAACCAAACUUAAAUUCAUAAAUAACCGAACAAUUACUAUAUUUCUUGAACCAAAAACCACAACCAAAUCGGAAACAAAAAAUACAUUUUAGAAGUAAACUAAAAAUCGAACGCACAUAACUAAACAUAUUAGUGAACAAAUUGACAUGUUAAUAAAUUAAUAAUUCUGCGCUUUGAAAGCGUGGGUCAUAUCCUAGUCUAUUCUAUUAAAAGGGAAUCAGUAUUGAAAAAUCUACUUAAACAAGGUUACUGCACCCUUUCAUUUAAUUAAUAGUAUAUUGGUCUACCUAUUAUUUCUCCUAUCUAUACUAUUAAAAGAGAAUGAGUCUUAAAAAAUCUACUUAAAUAAGGUUGUUUGACCUAUAAAUUAGCUAAUUAUUUUCUGGUCUUAAUAUUUUCUUAAUAAUACAAGGUAACAUGAGAUACAUAUCAAAUUUAGUGGUUUAGUCAAUCCCCUUAUUUAUUAUACAACAUCAUUCGAUAAAUUAAAAACAUUACAUUAUACCAAAUAAUUAAAAACGGGACCAAUCUCUAAACCUUUCUCAUUAAUCUCAUAAUAAAAAUGUGACCGUUUUCACCCAAUAAAUUUCUAAGUAGUCAUGUAUGAUGUAUCUGCCAAUCUAGAUCUCUUUCAUCAAUUUAUAAGAGCAUCAACCUAUUUACGGAACCAUGUAUUUCAUAUAUCAUAAUCAUAUGCACACAUUAAGAUAUUUUUCGUCCAUAUGGCUAUUUUUCCUAAACCAAGCCCUAUAACUCAAUCGAUAGACCAAUAUUUUAGUGAUAAAUCCUUAAACUAACCUAUUAAGAUUUAUAUGAUGACUUAUUAAGGUAUCACGGACUAGAAUUUUGAAUUAGUAUGAUACAUGAUUUUGGAAAUAUAAUUAGUUUAGAUAUUAUGCUAAAUUUGACUAAACUCGCGUGAUUAAUAUUUUAAAAAACGAAUAUACUUUUCUAGAUACUAAAAUGUUUAUCACUUAUCUAUAUUGCUAAAACCGAUUAUGCUUUUGUAGAUACUAAAACCGGAUCCAAAAAAAAUAAAAAAAUUAUUCACCUCAUUCAUGUGAUACAUUUAUUCUCCAAAAAAAGUGUAUCAUCUAACGUUAUGGUUAUUAUACAAUAACGUUAUACACCAUACCUUAUGUUCAAUAAUGGACCUAUAACAUUUAGAUAUCAAUUAUUAAAAUGAGUUGGCAUAUAUUAUACAGCAUAUUAUACCAUGUCAUUUAACAUUUUAUAGUUUUAAAUAUUUACAAAACCAAAUUUGAUAAAAAAAACUUUAGCAAACUAUCUGUUAAAAAUAAAAUUAUAUAUUACUUUAAUAAAAUUUGUACAAGAGUAUUUAUAAUAGAAUUUGAUAUUUAAGAUAAGUUUAAAAGCUAUUAAAAUUCCUACAAUUAUAUCCUAUUAAACUAGCCAAAAAUCAAUAAAAAAAUCUUAAAUCUCACCAACACAACAAAUUUUACUUUUAUGAAAUGCAGAUAAAAUAUAAUAA